GACGAACGCUGGCGGCGUGCUUAACACAUGCAAGUCACGGGGGUCCCGGGGGCAACUCUGGGAUAACCGGCGAACGGGUGCGUAACACGUGAACAACCUGCCCUCGUGUGGGGGAUAGCCAUGCUAACGCGUGGGUAAUACCGCAUACGUUCUCUUUGGGGAGUCCCGAGGAGAGGAAAGCUCCGGCGCACGGGGAGGGGUUCGCGGCCUAUCAGCUAGUUGGCGGGGUAAUGGCCCACCAAGGCGACGACGGGAGCUGGUCUGAGAGGAUGGCCAGCCACAUUGGGACUGAGACACGGCCCAGACUCCUACGGGAGGCAGCAGUGGGGAAUAUUGCGCAAUGGACGAAAGUCUGACGCAGCAACGCCGCGUGAGGGAUGACGGCCUUCGGUU
rnacentral:rRNA from 1 species